rnacentral:rRNA from 1 species
AGUUCGAUCAUGGCUCAGGAUUGAACGCCGGCGGGAUGCUUUACACAUGCAAGUCGAACGGCAGCACGGACUUCGGUCUGGUGGCGAGUGGCGAACGGGUGAGUAAUGUAUCGAACGCCUUUAGUAGCGGGGAUAACUACGUGCAGCGUAGCUAAUGCAUAUUGCCCUUCGGGGGAAAGCGGGGGACCUUUCGCCUCGCACUAUUAGAGCGGUCAGAUACCUGGAUUAGCUAGUUGCAAGUAACGGCUCACCAAGGCGACGAUCCGUAGCUGGUUUGAGAGGACGACCAGCCACACUGACCGAGACACGGCCCAGACUUACGGAGGCAGCAGUGGGGAAUUUUGGACAAUGGGGAAACUCUGAUCCAGCCAUCCCGCGUGUGCGAUGAAGGCCUUCGGGUUGUAAAGCACUUUUAAGUAUGGAAAGAAACGCACGGGAUAAUACCCCGUGCAACUGACGGUACCUGCAGAAUAAGCACCGGCUAACUACGUGCCAGCAGCCGCGGUAAUACGUAGGGUGCGCGUUAAUCGGAAUUACCGGGCGUAAAGCGUGCGCAGGCGGUUCGGAAAGAAAGAUGUGAAAUCCCAGAGCCUAACUUUGGAACCGCAUUUAACUACCGAGCUAGAGGCAUCAGAGGUGGAAUCCCGCGUGUAGCAGGAAUGCGUAGAUAUGCGGAGGAACACCGAUGGCGAAGGCAUUCCUGGGAGAACACUGACGCUCAUGCACGAAAGCAUGGGAGCAACAGGAUUAGAUACCCUGGUAGUCCACGCCCUAAACGAUGUCAACUAGCUGUUGGGGCCUUCGGGCCUGGUAGUGCAGCUAACGCGUGAAGUUGACCGCCUGGGGAGUACGGUCGCAAGAUUAAAAACUCAAAGGAAUUGACGGAUCCGCACAAGCGGUGGAUGAUGUGGAUUAAUUCGAUGCAACGCGAAAACCUUACCUACCCUUGACAUGUCUGAAUCCCGAAGAGAUUUGGGAGUGCUCGCAAGAGAACCGGAACACAGGUGCUGCAUGGCUGUCGUCAGCUGUGUCGUGAGAUGUUGGGUUAAGUCCCGCAACGAGCGCAACCCUUGUCAUUAGUUGCUACGAAAGGGCACUCUAAUGAGACUGCCGGUGACAAACCGGAGGAAGGUGGGGAUGACGUCAAGUCCUCAUGGCCCUUAUGGGUAGGGCUUCACACGUCAUACAAUGGUCGGGACAGAGGGUCGCCAACCCGCGAGGGGGAGCCAAUCCCAGAAACCCGAUCGGGAACUGGAUCAGUGUCUGCAACUCUCGACUGCGUGAAGUCGGAAUCGCUAGUAAUCGGUGUGGAUCAGCAUGUCGCGGUGAAUACGUUCCCGGGUCUUGUACACACCGCCCGUCACACCAUGGGAGUGGGUUUUACCAGAAGUAGUUAGCCUAACCGCAAGGAGGGCGAUUACCACGGUAGGAUUCAUGACUGGGGUGGUCGUAACAAGGUAA